AUGAAGACAGAGAUUGAGGAGGAAGGCACCAGAGGGUCCUGGACUGAGGAGGACAAAUCCCUUUGUGCUUCUGUGCUGGGCUUAGAUGCCUUCACAUAUCUGACAAAAGGUGGAGGUGCCAUAUCUGAAAAUCUCGUAGCAGCGUCUGGGUUGGUGGGCUUGCAAAAUAAACUCCAGGACCUGGUUGAAGCUGAUGGUAAAAGCCUUUGUUGGAACUACGCCAUCUUCUGGCAACUCUCCCACACCAAAUCUGGUGAACUUGUCCUUGGUUGGGGUGACGGAUCUUGCCGUGAACCCCAUGAUAAUGAGAUGAACUCGACUACUCGUGGUGAUAUUCAUGAUGCAUCUUCACUGAGCCAACAAAGGAUGCGUAAGCGAGUGUUAGAGCGACUGCAUACAGCAUUUGCUGGGGCUGAGGAGGAGGAUGAUGCUCUCAGAAUUGACCAGGUGACUGACACUGAGUUAUUCUUCCUAGCAUCCAUGUAUUUUGCAUUUCCACGUCAUGUAGGUGGCCCUGGGCAAGUGUUUGCAACAGGUGCACCCCUUUGGAUUCCUAACAAUCCGCACAAGGUUUCCCCCUCAAAUUAUUGCUAUCGUGGAUUCCUUGCAAGUGCAGCAGGAUUUAGGACUAUUGUUCUACUGCCAUUUGAAGCUGGUGUACUUGAGUUAGGCUCAAUGCAGAAUGUGCUUGAGAGUGCUGAAGCUCUGGAAACCAUAAGGUCUGUGUUUCUAGGGGCAAGCAGUAAGAAGGCAGCAUCUGGGAAGCAUGAUGAGAAUGGUUCUGCUCAAAUAUCACCCGGUUUGGCUAAGAUUUUUGGGAAGGAUUUGAAUCUGAGCCGACCUUUAGUCAACACGGGAGCACUUCCAUUAAAAAUGAAUGAAAGGUCAUGGGAUAUGCAGAAGAAUUGUGGUGGUGAGAGCCUGUUGCUCCCCAAUGUCCGGAAAGGUUUGCAGAACUUCACAUGGAGUCAGGCUCGAGGCCUGAAUUCUCAUCACCAGAAAUUUGGCAAUGGUAUUCUAGUUGUGAAAAGUGAGACUUCACAACGUAGCAAUGGAGCUGCGCAUAGCCCUGGAUUGAGCCCAUUUCAGCUCCAGAAUUCACAGCAGAUACUGACACAACCACCACCUCAGUCACAGACACCGAGGCAUAUAGAUUUUAGCGUAGGGUCUAGUUCAAAAUCUGGUGUUUUGACUUCACAAGCAGCUCUGUUGGGUGGGGAAAAUGGCAGUGUCGAUGGUUUGUGUAAGGAGCAAGUGGCCCCUACAAUGGAGGGCCAGCAACCAAGAAAGAGGGGAAGAAAACCAGCAAACGGGAGGGUAGAGGCACUUAACCAUGUUGAGGCUGAGCGCCAAAGGAGGGAAAAACUCAACCAGAGGUUCUAUGCACUGAGAGCUGUUGUUCCCAAUAUCUCAAAAAUGGACAAAGCAUCGCUCCUGGGAGAUGCCAUAACGCACAUCACUGAUCUCCAGAAGAAGCUCAAAGAGAUGGAGUCGGAAAGAGACAUGUUCUUGGAGUCUGGUAUGGUAGACCGCAGGGUCCAAACACCUAGGCCAGAAGUAGAUAUCCAGGUGGUGCAAGAUGAGGUUCUUGUUCGUGUAAUGUCACCUAUGGACAACUAUCCGAUAAAUAAUGUGUUCCAAGCUUUUGAAGAGGCAGAAGUCAAAGUUGGUGAAUCAAAGAUCGCAUCCAACAAUGGGAAAGUUAUGCAUUCCUUUGUUAUCAAGUCCCCUGGCUCUGAACAGCAAACAAGAGAGAAAUUGAUUGCUGCUAUGUCUCGUGCAAUGAACUCCAUGUAG
rnacentral:rRNA from 1 species